rnacentral:rRNA from 1 species
UACGUAGGUGGCGAGCGUUAUCCGGAAUUAUUGGGCGUAAAGAGCGCGCAGGUGGUUGAUUAAGUCUGAUGUGAAAGCCCACGGCUUAACCGUGGAGGGUCAUUGGAAACUGGUCGACUUGAGUGCAGAAGAGGGAAGUGGAAUUCCAUGUGUAGAGGUGAAAUGCGUAGAGAUAUGGAGGAACACCAGUGGCGAAGGCGGCUUCCUGGUCUGUAACUGACACUGAGGCGCGAAAGCGUGGGGAGCAAACAGGAUUAGAUA